rnacentral:rRNA from 1 species
UACGUAGGCAGCGAGCGUUGUUCGGAGUUACUGGGCGUAAAGAGUGCGUAGGCGGUUUUCUAAGUUUGGUGUGAAAUCUCCCGGCUUAACUGGGAGGGUGCGCCGAAGACUGGAAGGCUUGAGUAUGGGAGAGGUAAGCGGAAUUCCUGGUGUAGCGGUGAAAUGCGUAGAUAUCAGGAGGAACACCUGCGGUGUAGACGGCUUACUGGACCAUCACUGACGCUGAUGCACGAAAGCGUGGGUAGCAAACAGG